UGGUCAGCCUUCAAAGGGUUUUUUAGUACUCUUCAUGAAACUGAUUAUGAAUCACAUCCACUAACGGCUAACAGAAAUGGGAUUCUGGAAGAAGGAAAACUCUCUGUUCAUAGAAAAUUAAUCCAACCUUAUCUCCCAACGUUCGUUCAAAUCACCUUAUGAAAAGUGACUUACCAGCUACUGCAUGGUAGCAGAAUCUUUUACCUUCUUAUAGAUUCCACCAAAGUAAUCAAGAGAAGGAAUUGAAACAGCAAGACAAUUACCAGUGGAUUAAAUUAUCGAGAAAGAAGUGAAAAACUACUUGCUCUAAUAGAAAUUUAAGACUACAACGAUCCAUUUUGAUCAAGAACUGUUGGCCCCAUAAAUAAGGCCGCCAAUGUCGAAUGGCCUUCAUCAAUCCAAUCAGUUCUUUUUUAAGCAAGGUAGUGUGUUAUGAUGAAAAAUUAAUAUUGGAAAAGUAAUUGCCUUAUCUUGUUGUUGCAGAACAGCUCCAAUACCCAAGUCAAAAGCAUCACAUUCAAUGAUGAAAGUGUGAGAAAUCAGGACGAGCCAACACUAGAGUAAAAGAUAUGGCAUCUCUGAGAAUCUCAAAAGCAGCACGACUUUCAUCAGUUAAUUGAAUAGAAUUCUUCUUGAGCAUGUCGGUUAAGGUAGCAGCGAUAAUGCAAUAGUAAUGAAUACAUUUGCGGUAAU
rnacentral:lncRNA from 1 species